GUUGUUAGAUGCCUCUAGCCCAAGCAGGUGUGUGAGGGCGGCGGUGGUGGCGGCGCUUGGCCUCUCGCUCCGGCUGUGGCGGCGGCGCUACUCCCGGUUCACCUUCUUCUUCUCCUACUCCUCCGAGUUCUCCUUCGCGGCUUUCUACUCCGUCGCUAGGUUCAUCCGGCAUUCGUAGUAGAACGUAGGUCCGUCGCCUUGAGACUCCCCACUACCGUAACAGAUCACUAAGAACUAAACAAGACAACAAAACCGACACCUUCAACGAAAAUGGACACAAACCAGUUUAAAUCAACAAAUUAUGAUCAGACCGAUACAAGGUCAUGACUCAAAAUACAUUACACUCCUAAUAUACACAAACACUGACUUAAAAUACGUGGAUAAUAGGAACUCCAUGAGACUUUACACGGAAAACCGGGACGU
rnacentral:rRNA from 1 species